AACCUGCCUUUCAGAGGGGGACAACAGUUGGAAACGACUGCUAAUACCGCAUGACACAUUGGAGUCGCAUGGCUCUGAUGUCAAAGAUUUAUCGCUGAAAGAUGGCCUCGCGUCUGAUUAGCUAGUUGGUGAGGUAACGGCCCACCAAGGCGACGAUCAGUAGCCGGACUGAGAGGAUGACCAGCCACACUGGGACUGAGACACGGCCCAG
rnacentral:rRNA from 1 species